GGGAAAAUUGUGAUGGAAAUAACCCCAAAAGAGCAGAAAAAUUUGGGAUGGAACAAACCCCAAAAAGAGGAGAAAAUUGGGAUGAAAUAAACCCCAAAAAGAGGAGAAAAUUUGAAUGGAAAAAACCCCAAACGAGGAGAAAAAAUUGGGAUGGAGAAAACCCCAAAAGCGGAGAAAACUGGGAUGGAGAAACAAUUGGGAUUGAACAAACCCCAAAAAAAGGAGAAAAUUGGGAUGGGAAAAAAAACCAAAAAAUGAGAAAAUUGGGAUGGAAAAAAACCCAAAAAAAGGAGAAAAUUGGGAUGGAAAAAAAACCAAAAAAGGAGAAAAUUGGGAUUGAACAAACCCCAAAAAAGGAGAAAAUUGGGAUGGAAAAAACCCCAAAAAAAGGAGAAAAUUGGGAUGGAAAAAAACCCAAAAAAAGGAGAAAAUUGGGAUGGAAAAAAACCCAAAAAAUGAGAAAAUUGGGAUGAAAAAAAAAAAACAAAAAAUGAGAAAAUUGGGAUGGAAAAAACCAAANUAAAUAUAAUAUCAUCUCUUUCAAAUAGAUAGAAAAUGUAAAAUAUACUAUUAUUAAAUAUAAUU
rnacentral:lncRNA from 1 species